rnacentral:tRNA from 1 species
GCGGAUAUGGCGAAAUUGGUAGACGCGCUAGAUUUAGGGUCUAGUGCUAUCAAGCGUAUGGGUUCAAAUCCCUUUAUCCGCACCA